GCCAACUUUAAUAAAAAUAUAUUAUCUUCUCAUACAUCGUUUUGCUAUUGAUAUCAUAUUAAAUAGUAAUCAAAUUGAUUACUAUCUUGAAAAUGUAUAAAUGAAGAUUCAUAUUGUCUUGAGUGCUGUUUUUAAUAUAAAAAGAAUGUUGAGUUUUCAGAGUCUUUAUUGUCAUUUUUUUGUGAUAGGACCCUACCAGACUAUAUUUGAAUACGGCAUACCCAUUAAUUCUGGAACUGUUAUUUCUUAACGCAGUUUGGAGGAUAACAGCUUACUACUAGUUAUGUGAGUACACACAGUACAUUAGUACUGUACACUGUCUCUAACAUGAUUUAUUAUGCUGAGAUGAUUUUGAUUCAAAUAACGGUUAAAACUGCACCCUUUUUGGUAUUUUCUUGACUCUUUUUGUCUUUGAAAAUCUGCAGAAAUAUGCUGAGGUGAUGUAUUGCAAAAUAGCCAACAUACAACAAUUAAAGGAUAAUUGCAGACUACAUCCUGAUGAAGAUAUGGAUGACCCUCUGUCUGGUCAACAAUAGUUUAAAUAUGGAUGGGACAGUUAUGUGGCAGCUCUUCCCUGGCUCAUUCACCUCUUGCCUUCAUUUGUGAAAGGAGGAAAGACUGGAGAGGGUCAAUGUGCAACUGAAGCUACUGAUUGUGCUGUGUGAUGAGCAUCAAUCCAUGCUUUGAGGUGGAUGGAUCAGCACAG